rnacentral:rRNA from 1 species
GUGAGGAAUAUUGGUCAAUGGGCGGAAGCCUGAACCAGCCAUCCAGCGUGGAGGAAGACGGCCCUAUGGGUUGUAAACUUCUUUUCAAGGGGAAGAAAGUUCGCGACGUGUCGCGAUUUGCCGGUACCUUUGGAAUAAGCAUCGUCUAACUCCGUGCCAGCAGCCGCGGUAAUACGGAGGAUGCGAGCGUUAUCCGGAUUUAUUGGGUGUAAAGGGUGCGUAGGCCGAUAGAUAAGUCAGCGGUGAAAUACCAUGGCCCAACCAUGGAACUGCCGUUGAUACUGUCGGUCUUGAAUAUGGUCAAGGUAGGCGGAAUGUGUAAUGUAGCGGUGAAAUGCUUAGAUAUUACACAGAACACCGAUUGCGAAGGCAGCUUACUGGUCCAUUAUUGACGCUGAGGCACGAAAGCGUGGGGAUCGAACAGGAUUAGAAACCCGGGUAGUCC